rnacentral:rRNA from 1 species
CUACGGGGCGCUGCAGUGAGGAAUUUUGCGCAAUGGGCGAAAGCCUGACGCAGCAACGCCGCGUGAGUGAUGAAGGCCUUCGGGUCGUAAAGCUCUGUCAAGUGGGAAGAACCUAUGUAAUGUUAAUAUCAUUAUAUACUGACGGUACCACUGAAGGAAGCACCGGCUAACUCCAUGCCAGCAGCCGCGGUAAUACGGGGGGUGCAAGCGUUAUUCGGAAUCAUUGGGCGUAAAGGGCACGUAGGCGGCCUGGUAAGUCAGAUGUGAAAGCCCGGGGCUUAACCCCGGAAGUGCAUUUGAUACUGUCAGGCUUGAGUAUGGGAGAGGGAAGUGGAAUUCCUGGUGUAGAGGUGAAAUUCGUAGAUAUCAGGAGGAACACCGGUGGCGAAGGCGACUUCCUGGACCAAUACUGACGCUGAGGUGCGAAGGCGUGGGUAGCAAACAGGAUUAGAUACCCGAGUAGUC